ensembl:lncRNA
UCAUUUUACUCUAGCCCAGCUUAAAACUUUGCACUAAACUUUUUUUUUUUUUUACUUUAUUUUUGCAACUCAAAUGUUUAUCUGAGUUCUUUGCAGUCCCUGUAUUCAUUCACUUAAUUCUGGCCAUGGCUUUGGAAUUUCAACAAUGGUUUUAAAUCUGUCAGGGGUUAUCUGACCCAGAUAUGUUACUUCGGGUCAUGCUAGCUGUGCUUUCUUUAAAUUAACUUUGAAACCCCCGUUUGUGUUACUUGUUUACAACAUUAUCAUCUCAUAUGCAAACAAUAAUUUUUAACUGGAAAUUGGCAAUUUUCCAAUAAGAACAUGUCUCUGUUACUUUUACAGCUUAAACCAGAGUCAUGGUGGGACUAGCAUGAGAUAAAAACAACUGCUUCAUUGCAGUCAAAGCAAUCUUAUCUUUUAAAGCAAAACAUAAGCUUCUACGUUUUUCCAAAAUGCUACUGCCAAUUUGUGUGCCUACAGUCUUUUCACCAACCCAGAAUUCUGUUCAAUAUGCCUUGUCAGGACUUUCAACAAUUAUAUAGGAACUAGAACAGAUCUUAUGAUAUCACUCUUUGUCAUUUAAACCUUCUAUGCACAAAGAAUCAGAUUAAAUCGUCACUUAGUUACUUCUGGGAUUCUUUUUAACAAAUAGGCACAUACAUUUAGAAAUUUUUAUCUCUCUGGUUCUUUCUUUGUUUAAAGCCAAUGAAGUUUUUGUUUUAACUUUCCAAUCAGAAUCAAAGUUCAGACUGACCAUUCUUUCCAUUAACUCAGAGAAUAUUUUUAAAGUCAGAGCUUCAGAGCCGAGCUGUUUACAGCAUUUGUGCUCUUCUGUUUCAUUAUUUCUAGGCUGGGCAAGUUACAUAAUUUGUCAGUCAUAUUUCUAUCAUAAACCAAAAAGAGAUUGAGGCGGCGAUCUUACCAACAGCACUUGACUUCUGCGUGAUGAAACUGUAAAGUAUAUUCCAGAAUUUCCAUAUACUGGUCCAAUCCAAUUAGGGUCAUGAAAACAAAAUUUUAGCUCUUUCGGGGCUGUUUCUGAUGCAUCCCAGAUCAAUCAAUCCUUUCCCUUAACCUAUAUAUCUAUCUGUAUGCGCAUAUAGAUUAUCACUAUUUAUUUUUAACUCUAAUUUUUCGGUAUUCUGUUCCCUAACCACUGACCUGGCCUAUUCACUAAAGCUCGGGGUACCCCUGUCUGUAAUGGUGGGUGGUCGAGAGUUGGAAGAGCGAUUUACGACUAGAACCCACGCCUAGCGUCUUACAUUCUUCUCUGUAUUUCCUAUACCCUUACUAUCGCUCUCCCGGCCGUAAAU